AUUGAACGCUGGCGGCAGGCCUAACACAUGCAAGUCGAGCGAGCGUCGGACGGGUGAGUAAUGUUUGGGGAUCUGCCCGAUAGAGGGGGAUAACUACUGGAAACUGUGGCUAAUACCGCAUACUAUCGGAUGAACCCAUAUGGGAUUAGCUGGUAGGUGGGGUAAAGGCUCACCUAGGCUACGAUCUCUAGCUGGUCUGAGAGGAUGAUGAGCCACACUGGGACUGAGACAGGGCCAAGACUCCUCCGGGCGGCAGAAGUGGGGAAUAUUGCACAAGGGGCGAAAGCCUGAUGCAGCCAUGCCGGGUGUAUGAAGAAGGCCUUAGGGUUGUAAAGUACUUUCAGCGGGGAGGCGUUACCCGCAGAAGAAGGACCGGCUAACUCCGUGCCAGCAGCCGCGGUAAUUC
rnacentral:rRNA from 1 species